rnacentral:misc_RNA from 1 species
GAUGAAGAACGUAGCGAAAUGCGAUAAGUAAUGUGAAUUGCAGAAUUCAGUGAAUCAUCGAAUCUUUGAACGCACAUUGCGCCCCUUGGUAUUCCGAGGGGCAUGCCUGUUCGAGCGUCAUUAUAACCCCUCAAGCUCAGCUUGGUGUUGGGGCCUGCUGCACUGGCAGCCCUUAAAAUCAGUGGCGGCGCCAUCUGGCUCUAAGCGUAGUAAUUCUUCUCGCUAUGGAGUCCUGGUGGAUGCUUGCCAUCAACUCCCAAUUUUUCUAUGGUUGACCUCGGAUCAGGUAGGGAUACCCGCUGAACUUAAGCAUAUCAAUAAGCGGAGGA